GAAUUCUUCCUGCAUAAAGCAUUAACUCGUUGUAAAUUGGAUGGAUCAGCAAGAGAUUAUGCAAGUUUUCCUCACAAUAUUCAUUUGUUAUCCUUAUUGCCAAGCAUCCAACAACUUAGAAAUUUGAAGAAAAAUGUGAUGGUCACAACACAUGGUCGUCCCCCAAAUAAAAGUAAAAUAAAUAACUGAUAUUUGGAAGCUUAAAACUACCUAAAAACUGCACAUGAGCAUAACUAGUUUAUUCGAUCAGGAUACAAAAUUCUUAUAAACAAAAUUCCAUGGGAGACAUGGCACAUUCAAAUUCUGCCCUCGCCAGGUGAAAUUUAUAAUAAUGUAACCUUAAAAACAGGGAAAAAUAGCAAGUAGAUUCAAUGCAGCUCAACUGAUGAGCUGCAGAGUAUUGGCAAUCCCAGAUGGUGCUGCAAUAAGGAAUCAAGACAUAGUCACGUUACUUGAAAUGCUGAUGUAUUCGUGAUUCAUAACGUCAAGAUCUCCCCCGCACGAGUGUGUAACAGGUUAUUUGGCAAGCUAUAUAAAAGCACCACGGGGCAGAUGCUCAAUGGACAGCUAUAAACGCAACUUACGCGAGCAAACAAAAGGCAAGAAG
rnacentral:misc_RNA from 1 species